GUACCCUUUGGAUUUAUGGCCCAAGCGAUCCAUCCGCCAGGCUUUGCCGGGGGAGCGGAGAAGACGACGGCGAGAGUUGUGUUGGCUACAUCGUAGGAAUAGUGGAGGAAGGCUUUGAGUUGAGGGAGGUCAAGGCAGUGAGGGUAGGUUUUAUCGCCGGAAAACGUCUGUGACUUACAGGUUUGUGAGACUGCCGGUGAGAUUAGAAGAGCCAA